rnacentral:lncRNA from 10 species
UAAGUCUAAAAAUAUGAAUUAUACGUGGGGCUUGUCAUUCUGACAUUUAAUACUUCAGCGUGGUGAUAAUGGUGAUAUAAUAUACUGUUUGAAAUUGUAACACAUGAGUUAAAAUCAAAAGAUUGAUAAGUACAUAUUUGUAUAUUGCUACAUGACAAAAAUCUAGGAAGAAUAUGAUUCACAUGAAAAUUCUUUGGAAGGACAUGACAGACUUUUAACAGUCCUGUAUAGUGAAAGGAGAAUAGAACGACUACUUCUACUUUCUGUAUCUGAAAUUUUCAAAAGCUAUUUCAAAAUGAACAUUUAAACAACAGGAAAUUUUAGAGACAACCACUUUGUGCCUGUCUUCAUCCUUGACAUUCAACAUCCUAGGAACAAUGGGCUGUUGUAUUCAACUUCUUAUUCCCAACAGCCAUUAUGAAUGGUUUUUGAUUGAUCUCACAAAGAGCAUGUGCUUUAGACAUUAAUGCAGCGACUACCAUGAAACAGAGUAUUGGAUUACCUAAGGAAAGAAGCAGAGGAUGGAAUUUGAGGCAAUCAGGAUGAGUGAAAAAUUGAUUUGCAGCUGACCUGCAAAUGGAAUCAUCAGGAACAUCCCUUUCUCAUGGAGUCCCUUAAUUUACAAGUUAACUGCAAACAUAGGAGAUGAUAGUUCCAAGAAGGAACAUUUUAUCGUCUUUGUUUUUAAUCUCAAGAAUGGUACCUACCAUCAGUGAAUGACCUGUUGCAGUGCUUUCAUUGAAGUGUUCUUCGUUCCCUCAGCAAUAUGAUUGUGAUGACUGAAAAAGGGAAACUGUGCCACUAUUUGUACCAUCAUUUUCACCAAAAUCUAAAAAUGCUUUUUAUGACGUAUGGAGACAUUCUUCAUGUUUGUUUCAGUGGACACUCCUUGCAGAUGUAAAAAACUGAGAAAACUCACUUUUGGAAAGUGACCUAAAGAGUGUCAUUGAAGUGAAUUUUAAGUAGGCACGAUGAUUGUUUUCAUGGUUGCUGUUGGAUCAUAUCUCAGGAGCUGGAAUGACAGACAUUAUUGAACAAAGAAAUCAGGAUAGUGGAACUUAAAGGGCUUCAUCUCAGUGCUUUCAUAAGUAUGAAGUGCAUAUAUUUAUAAUUUUCACUAAUCACAGGAAUAUUCCCUCUGUAUACUUGCAUUUUUUUCUAUCAAUUGACGCUUACAAUUAUUUUUGCAAGUUGGAAAAAAAUGCAGUAUUAAUUUCAUUUGCAACAAAUUUAAUAGAUUAAUUAGGAGAGAAUAGAUAUCUUUAAAAUUGAGUCUUCUGUCCAACUGCAAGUUAUAGCUGAGGUGGUACCAGUUUAAGAAGUGAGAACUUCUUCACUGACUGAAAUUUGCAUAUCAAUCCAAAUCAUUGUGCUUAUUUACUAUUUUUGUAGACGUCAUUCUUCAAAAGUGCUGCAUCUUCAAUAGUCAAGGAGGACAAAGACAUCUUUCCUGCAGGUGGUGACCAUGUGGAUAAUAGGAUCAUAGACAAAUGGUGGUUCCAUCUACAGCAUCACCGAAAUGCUGUUGUUACUGCUUCUUUCUGGGAUCUUCUUGCAUCUUUGCUUCUAAAGGGGCACACCUUUUAUAGAAGUACGUCCAGGAAUAGAAGUGACCUGCUUUUUCGCAAGUAAUUGCCUGGAAUGUUUUUAUGUACUUCUCUGCACUCUCAAUACAUU